CACUUUCUGGUGAAAUUUCUGAUUUUCCCAGGCGAGAACUUCACUUAAGAAGCCUGUGACAUUUGAAGAAGCAGCAACACAUUAGAAUUAAUUGGAUAAGGCACAGUUUGACUAUUGUAAUAGCAAGUAUAGUUGGAUUGUCUCUUCCAGGGAAAAAAUGAAGAAGAAAAGGAAUCAAAUACUAUGUUCAAAACAGAGGAUCUACACCACAUGGGAAGACAGCAACUAUGGAAAAUGGUGAAAGAGUAGCCUAUGUACCUGAGUAGCAACCUUUCAAAAAAUGUGGAAAUCUGAACUGAUCCUACCCAUUCAGGAACCUAGCCAAAAGUUCCUAGCCAAUGACCCUGGAACACGCUCUGCCAGACAGCCAAUCUGCCAGAGACUUGACCUUGGACUUCCCAGCCUUUAGAACAAGGAGAAAUAAAUUCAUGUUGUGUCUAAGCCA